AGACAAUAUGUUGGUGUACUAUUAUUGACCUUUUACUAUCUCUGCUAUGACUAGGGUUAUACGAUGUGUGUAUUCACGGUUCUGUGGCAAUACUCGUAGAUGGCUUGUUGAAAGGUAAAUUGUUAUUUGCACUUCGGUAUUUAACCACGCCUCUAGGGCACACCUUGCCAGGUGUGACUGUCUAUUCGGAUCAGUGGGAGCAUUUAAUACACACAUUAAAAAUACAUAUUCAAGUUGGUGACAAAUAAAAAUUGGUCGCCGUGGAAUUAUUUAAUUAUAUUUGGUGCUAUUAUUUAUUUGAAUUCAAAUAAGUUAAUUUACUAAGAAAUACACAAUUUUCGGUUAAAGACGGGAA
rnacentral:lncRNA from 1 species